GCACGCCGGGAGCCGUAGUCCCGGCGAGCCGCCAUUUCGCCGGCAGCGUGGGGGCCGCCGCCCGCGGUGACUUUGCGGCAUGGAGAGCGGCUUCGGCUCCGACUUCGGCUCCGACUUCGCCUCCGGGGGUGGCGGUGGCGGGAAGCUGGACCCGGGGCUCAUCAUGGAGCAGGUGAAGGUGCAGAUCGCCGUGGCCAACGCACAGGAGCUCUUGCAGCGCAUGACGGACAAGUGCUUUCGGAAGUGCAUCGGGAAGCCCGGCGGUGCGCUCGACAACUCGGAGCAGAAGUGCAUCGCCAUGUGCAUGGACCGGUACAUGGACGCCUGGAACACGGUUUCCCGAGCCUACAACUCUCGGCUGCAGCGGGAGAGAGCCAACAUGUGAUGCGCCCCGGCUCCUGGAGCGGGGAGGGACCACGUGGGGAAGAGACGAGCGGCCAGUCCAGCACCAGCCCCAGGAGCGAGUGAAUUUUCCAGCCUUGAGAGCCACCGUGAGCUGCUUGGUUUGCUUCAUGCCCUUCCCAACGGUCCGGACUGGCCAAGGCAUAUAGCAGCUUAUUAAUGCCUGCUGAAAGGGCUGCGAGAGGCAAGGAGCCUUCUGUGGAAAAGGGGGGCCAAGCCAGCAACACAGUCCCCUUGCCCAGGAAGCAAGCAUGGACCCAGGCAUCAGGUAGUUACCCAGUCCCUUUUCAUCAGUGGAAAAGCAGCUGUAAGAUGCUCCAUGUGCCACUGUGCCACACUUGGCUCUUUCUUCCCUUGUAUUUGUAUAGCUGUGUGUGGGUCUCACUUUUGGGGUCGCAGGCUUUGACUCAGCUCGAGCGGUGUGUUGGGGGGCGGGGGUGCUCUUACUAGGUUUGCAGCACAGCCUUGCAAAUAGUUGUACAAGCACAGCUGGGGAUGAAAAGGGUUGGGAAGUACUUAGGUUGAUUUCUUUAUAGAAUAAAACAUGUUGUGUGGCUGUGAUGUUCUGUAACUUCUGGUUUGGCUCUGGCACAGACGUUCCAUCUUGCAGCCUACCUUCUAGGCCUCAUUUUUUUGAGGAAGGAGUACUUCUGCAACAGAGGACUUGGGUCUGCUUUGGGGCUGAGCUUUGUAUUGUUCUCAGCUUACACACCUCUCCUGGAAAGGUCAGUUUAUGCUGUGUCAGCAGUGUACACAGCAGCUGGAAGAGGAGAGUGUUGGAGGUUAAAAGCACCCAUGCCCCUCUAGUGAGAUUUUUGAAAUCCCUUCUUUUGAAGCUCUUCUAUGUUUUAUAAAAUAUUUCACUGUUUGCUGGGACAGGGAGAGAGACUGGAAGGACGGUGCCUCCUUACCUGCUAGGACAUUCAAAGGGAUGUGGGAGAACCUGAUUUCAUUUAAUCUCCCAAUGUGGUAGCCUCUAUGAAGGGACUAAAGUGUUCUCACACAAGGUAAACUAUUAGCAGAUAACUGUAUAUUUGGACUAAUUGAAACUGAACUGGAGUUUCCCAUCCAUAUUGGGCAGAAUGACUACUUGAAAAUAAAGUGCUUUCCAGCCA